ACGCUCGACACCUACGGGAGGAAGCAGUGGGGAAUAUUGCACAAUGGGGGAAACCCUGAUGCAGCGACGCCGCGUGGAGGAAGAAGGUCUUCGGAUUGUAAACUCCUGUUGUUGGGGAAAAAGAGGAUGGUACCCAACAAGGAAGUGACGGCUAACUACGUGCCAGUAGCCGCGGUAAUCUGAGCGGGCUGGCAAGGC
rnacentral:rRNA from 1 species